GUAGGGUGCAAGCGUUACCCGGAUUUACUGGGGCGUAAAGGGUUCGUAGGCUUUCUAGUAAGUUAUGUCUCAAAGACCGGGGGCUCAACCUCGGGAAUCGGGGCGUAAUACUGCUAGAAUAGGAGAAUUCAGGGGCUACUGGAACUGUCGGUGUAGGGGUGAAAUCCGUUGAUAUCGACAGGAACUCCAAGAGCGAAGGCAGGUAGCUGGGAAUUAUUCGACGCUGAGGAACGAAAGCUAGGGGAGCAAAAGGGAUUAGAGACCCCUGUAGUCCUAGCCGUAAACGAUGCUCGCUAGCUCUCUGUGCCGAUUUUAUUGGCAUGGUGAGCGUAAGCUAACGCGUGAAGCGAGCCGCCUGGGGAGUACGUGCGCAAAGCAUA
rnacentral:rRNA from 1 species